UCGCAAUUUGUGUUUAGUGUUUUCUCACUUGCGGGUGAGACAGUGGAAGAAAGGGGCGACAUUGUCGCCCACACCCCUUUCCCCCUCUCCCUCCACACACAGACAAACACCCGGACACACAUACUUCGUUCUUCAGUGCACACGCCUGUCGCGUCAACGCUGGAGUUCUCUCGGAGUCGCUUUAUUCGCUUGGAAUGCGCACCGGUGGUAUUCAGGAAAAGCUCCACUGGUGCUAGGCUGCAGCGUGAUGAGAACCGGAGGAGGCCAACGCAAUGCGCUUGCUGGUGCUUGCAACGACCACAAGUACGCAAAUGUGGAGGCGUUGCGGAAGCUAGUGCGGCUGGAUUGCCGCUAUGCAUGGGUUGAUGUGCCCUUUUCUACACCUUCGGGGCGCCACCAGAUGCUUGUUCGCCAGCGCGGCGCCACCUGCGGCCCAAGUACACCAGAGAACGUGGACUUAGUAGCAUUGUUGAACUCAGACAGCAUACCGCAGUAUAUAUGGCCGGCUGCCUAUCCCAUGUGCGAAUGGGUCCAUUCCCACAGCGACAUGUUUCAAGGCAAAUGCGUGCUGGAACUUGGGUGUGGGGCUGGCGUUCUCGGGUUCACGGUCGCGCAGCAUGCCAGACAGGUGGUGCUGACUGAUUGUUCGCCCGUCUCCCUCGCCCUCGUGCUUGAGUCGGUGGCGCGAAACGGCUACCGCAAUUGCAACGUGGCUGUCUUGCAGUGGGGAAGGGAAGAUCAGCUGGCGCAGAUAAAGCUGGAGUGCGGUGUGGACUCCUUUGACAUCGUCAUGGGUAGCGACGUCUUCUACUUCAGCAGCACUCUCAAAGCCGGGCUUGCAACGGCGCGCAGCGCUCUCAUGCCACGGCACGACAACGAUGCAGUGUUUCUUUGCGGCAGUGUCGCGCGCUCCGACCGAAUGGAGGUCGAUCUCGAGGAAAUGCCACUCCAGGAAGGGUUUGUGCUUGCUGAUUCAAUCGUGGUGGAUCCGUUUCGGCUCUACGUUUGGAAAGUUUCCUCCUCACAGUAGUCCUCGCGCGCCGGCUCUUCGUGCAUGAAUGCUAAUAGAGAACUCUAUGACUUGUGGUAGCUGACCACCUGCCCGUUGUCGAGGUCGAACACGGUGCAACGUGGAAUGUGGGGAACCGCCGGCUAGACACCCUCUCGACCCUCACCGUGAUGUUUCACUUGGGGUGAUUGGUGCCGCACUUUGUCGCUGCUUUUCAUCCUAUCCCUGCAUGUGCACGUAACAUCGCGGGGUUUUUCCCAAGUCGGCUCGGCGUCGUGUCCACGGACACAUCAAAGCCAGUACGGAAAUCGAUGGUGUCGCAUCCCUACACAUUCUGCCGCCCUCACGCACAAGGAACGCUACCGUUGUACGGAUGCAUGUGAACAUGCGCGGCUACUCCAGUACCUGCUCUACGUGUUCUAGUUUCGCGUUCGUGCACUUUUCGUCGCUCAUUUGUUUUCUUUGUGUGUGCUGUUUUUCCUGCUCCAUCGUAUCAUCGCAUCUCUUUUCGCGCGCUGCACGUGCCCCUUAAGCAUCCCACGGGUGAACGUCUGUCGAUCGUGCAGAGGUGUAGGAGAAUAGAAGGGAGGACGAAUUGCGCUUUCGAAAAUGUGUCAAGCUCACACUCGCUGACGCAACGCAUAUGUGAGCAAGCCCUUCCUCUACCCCACAGGCUAGCAUAUAAUUGCCGCCGGAGAGGAUGGUUGCGUGCAUGUAGUCCACCCUCACACCUCUAGGUGGUGUGGGAUGAGCCGUGCGAUGGAGAGACGAGACAUAACUCUGCUGCAACUGUGUACGGGUGCAGAGGUGAGGUGAUAC
rnacentral:misc_RNA from 1 species